UACGUAGGGUGCGAGCGUUUAAUCGGAAUUACUGGGCGUAAAGCGUGCGCAGGCGGUUUGUUAAGACAGAUGUGAAAUCCCCGGGCUUAACCUGGGAACUGCAUUUGUGACUGGCAAGCUAGAGUAUGGCAGGAGGGGGGUAGAAUUCCACGUGUAGCAGUGAAAUGCGUAGAGAUGUGGAGGAACACCGAUGGCGCAAGGCAGCCCCCUGGGCUGACACCUGAC
rnacentral:rRNA from 1 species